rnacentral:rRNA from 1 species
UGGAUGCCUUGGCACUAGGAGCCGAUGAAGGACGGGACGAACACCGAUAUGCUUCGGGGAGCUGUAAGCAAGCUUUGAUCCGGAGAUUUCCGAAUGGGGAAACCCACCACUCGUAAUGGAGUGGUAUCCAUAUCUGAAUACAUAGGAUAUGAGAAGGCAGACCCGGGGAACUGAAACAUCUAAGUACCCGGAGGAAGAGAAAGCAAAUGCGAUUCCCUGAGUAGCGGCGAGCGAAACGGGACCAGCCCAAACCAAGAGGCUUGCCUCUUGGGGUUGUAGGACACUCUGUACGGAGUUACAAAGGAACGAGGUAGAUGAAGAGGUCUGGAAAGGCCCGCCAUAGGAGGUAACAGCCCUGUAGUCAAAACUUCGUUCUCUCCUGAGUGGAUCCUGAGUACGGCGGAACACGUGAAAUUCCGUCGGAAUCCGGGAGGACCAUCUCCCAAGGCUAAAUACUCCCUAGUGACCGAUAGUGAACCAGUACCGUGAGGGAAAGGUGAAAAGCACCCCGGAAGGGGAGUGAAAGAGAUCCUGAAACCGUGUGCCUACAAGUAGUCAGAGCCCGUUAACGGGUGAUGGCGUGCCUUUUGUAGAAUGAACCGGCGAGUUACGAUCCCGUGCAAGGUUAAGCAGAAGAUGCGGAGCCGCAGCGAAAGCGAGUCUGAAUAGGGCGAAUUGAGUACGUGGUCGUAGACCCGAAACCAGGUGAUCUACCCAUGUCCAGGGUGAAGUUCAGGUAACACUGAAUGGAGGCCCGAACCCACGCACGUUGAAAAGUGCGGGGAUGAGGUGUGGGUAGGGGUGAAAUGCCAAUCGAACCUGGAGAUAGCUGGUUCUCUCCGAAAUAGCUUUAGGGCUAGCCUCAAGGUAAGAGUCUCGGAGGUAGAGCACUGAUUGGACUAGGGGCCCCUACCGGGUUACCGAAUUCAGUCAAACUCCGAAUGCCGAUGACUUAUCCUUGGGAGUCAGACUGCGAGUGAUAAGAUCCGUAGUCGAAAGGGAAACAGCCCAGACCGCCAGCUAAGGUCCCAAAGUAUACGUUAAGUGGAAAAGGAUGUGGAGUUGCUUAGACAACCAGGAUGUUGGCUUAGAAGCAGCCACCAUUUAAAGAGUGCGUAAUAGCUCACUGGUCGAGUGACUCUGCGCCGAAAAUGUACCGGGGCUAAACGUAUCACCGAAGCUGCGGACUGUUCUUCGAACAGUGGUAGGAGAGCGUUCUAAGGGCUGUGAAGCAAGACCGGAAGGACUUGUGGAGCGCUUAGAAGUGAGAAUGCCGGUAUGAGUAGCGAAAGAGGGGUGAGAAUCCCCUCCACCGAAUGCCUAAGGUUUCCUGAGGAAGGCUCGUCCGCUCAGGGUUAGUCGGGACCUAAGCCGAGGCCGAAAGGCGUAGGCGAUGGAUAACAGGUUGAUAUUCCUGUACCACCUCCUCACCAUUUGAGCAAUGGGGGGACGCAGGAGGAUAGGGUAAGCGCGGUAUUGGAUAUCCGCGUCCAAGCAGUUAGGCUGGGAAAUAGGCAAAUCCGUUUCCCGUGAAGGCUGAGCUGUGAUGGCGAGCGAAUUAUAGUAGCGAAGUUCCUGAUUCCACACUGCCAAGAAAAGCCUCUAGCGAGGUGAGAGGUGCCCGUACCGCAAACCGACACAGGUAGGCGAGGAGAGAAUCCUAAGGUGAUCGAGAGAACUCUCGUUAAGGAACUCGGCAAAAUGACCCCGUAACUUCGGGAGAAGGGGUGCUCUGUUAGGGUGCAAGCCCGAGAGAGCCGCAGUGAAUAGGCCCAGGCGACUGUUUAGCAAAAACACAGGUCUCUGCGAAGCCGUAAGGCGAAGUAUAGGGGCUGACGCCUGCCCGGUGCUGGAAGGUUAAGAGGAGCGCUUAGCGUAAGCGAAGGUGCGAAUUGAAGCCCCAGUAAACGGCGGCCGUAACUAUAACGGUCCUAAGGUAGCGAAAUUCCUUGUCGGGUAAGUUCCGACCCGCACGAAAGGCGCAACGAUCUGGGCACUGUCUCAACGAGAGACUCGGUGAAAUUAUAGUACCUGUGAAGAUGCAGGUUACCCGCGACAGGACGGAAAGACCCCGUGGAGCUUUACUGCAGCCUGAUAUUGAAUGUUGGUACAGCUUGUACAGGAUAGGUAGGAGCCUUGGAAACCGGAGCGCCAGCUUCGGUGGAGGCAUCGGUGGGAUACUACCCUGGCUGUAUUGACCUUCUAACCCGCCGCCCUUAUCGGGCGGGGAGACAGUGUCAGGUGGGCAGUUUGACUGGGGCGGUCGCCUCCUAAAAGGUAACGGAGGCGCCCAAAGGUUCCCUCAGAAUGGUUGGAAAUCAUUCGCAGAGUGUAAAGGCACAAGGGAGCUUGACUGCGAGACCUACAAGUCGAGCAGGGACGAAAGUCGGGCUUAGUGAUCCGGUGGUUCCGCAUGGAAGGGCCAUCGCUCAACGGAUAAAAGCUACCCCGGGGAUAACAGGCUUAUCUCCCCCAAGAGUCCACAUCGACGGGGAGGUUUGGCACCUCGAUGUCGGCUCAUCGCAUCCUGGGGCUGUAGUCGGUCCCAAGGGUUGGGCUGUUCGCCCAUUAAAGCGGUACGCGAGCUGGGUUCAGAACGUCGUGAGACAGUUCGGUCCCUAUCCGUCGCGGGCGCAGGAAAUUUGAGAGGAGCUGUCCUUAGUACGAGAGGACCGGGAUGGACGCACCGCUGGUGUACCAGUUGUUCUGCCAAGGGCAUCGCUGGGUAGCUAUGUGCGGACGGGAUAAGUGCUGAAAGCAUCUAAGCAUGAAGCCCCCCUCAAGAUGAGAUUUCCCAUUCCGCAAGGAAGUAAGAUCCCUGAAAGAUGAUCAGGUUGAUAGGUCUGAGGUGGAAGUGUGGCGACACAUGGAGCUGACAGAUACUAAUCGAUCGAGGACUU